rnacentral:rRNA from 1 species
CGGGGGGAGCAAGCGUUGUUCGGAUUUACUGGGCGUAAAGGGCGCGUAGGCGGCGCAACAAGUCACUUGUGAAAUCUCCGGGCUUAACUCGGAGCGGCCAAGUGAUACUGUCGUGCUAGAGUGCGGAAGGGGCAACUGGAGUUCUCGGUGUAGCGGUGAAAUGCGUAGAUAUCGAGAGGAACACCUGCGGCGAAGGCGGGUUGCUGGGCCGACACUGACGCUGAGGCGCGAAAGCCAGGGGAGCGAACGGGAUUAGAUACCCCGGUAGUCCUGGCCUUAAACGAUGGAUGCUUGGUGUCCGGGGUUACAUAGUCCCCGGGUGCCGUCGCUAACGCCUUAAGCAUCCCGCCUGGGGAGUACGCACGCAAGUGUG